CAGAAGAACGUUGGGCCAGAAAAAAGCAUUGAGCUUGAGGGACUAGACUAAUCAAAAAAUGGAAUAACAUGGCAACAAUUACACUGAUGAGUGAGAGGGAAGCUACGGAUGCAUUCAGACACCUAUGGCACCACAGACUCAACGCAUUCAGCAUUUUGUGUUUAGUGUCUUGUGUUUCUGAGAGCAGAAAUAUUUGAAUUAGGAUUAUUUUAUUAAAUCAGACAGGAACUGAUAACCUCUCCUCAAAGAAAGUAAAAGGCAUGAAAUACCAUCAUUCUCAUGGAGAAAUUGGAGGUGAAAGGAACAGCACGGUUGGAGUAAUGGCAGCCACUUAAAAUGUUUAUUCACAAUUCAUCUACUUCUCAAAAAGAAUUUGAGACAAGUUAUAAAGUUCUAAUAAAACAGAUUCAUUAACAGAAGCUACAAAACAAACAUGAAGUGGUAAUCGAAGAAAAAUUCAUAUCAAGAAAUCCUGGCAAAAAGAGUGCAAUUUCUAGCUCCGAGGUUUCCAACAGCCGGGCAGAGAGAAACCCUGCUGAUUACAGAAUCCUCCUUAACUAAUCAUGAGAAUUGUGUUGGUUCUUUAACUGAAACGACCUUUUCCUGGCCCUUAGCUCCUCCAGGUGGAGUCUGUCCUGAGAAGUGGUAUGUGGAGGUGCCCAAGGCAUUGCCACAGGAGGCAGCUUUCAGCAGAGUUGGGAAGAGCCCUUCCUGGAGGAAGACUUGACUUGUCCUUCUGACUUUGGCUAAUAAGCAUUCUAAGUCAGGAGCAGAGGAGAAUCAUUCCUUUCCCCUCUGUCAUCAGAGGAAGGAUAGGGAAAGAGGAAAGAAAGGGAAAAGAACAUACUCUUUUGGGCUUAGAAGAAAUCCACAUCCCUUGAAAGCAAGUUACAACAGUUUAUUUGGAAAUCACCAUAUAGAGUAGGGCUUGAAUUUGGCCAAAAUAUUUUUUACCAAAGACCUUCUUGCUUUAAAAGUAAAGCAGCUGAUAAUCAGAUAUUUGGAAGGGGCCCAUCCAGCUGCAGUGGGCCUCCUCCGUGAAGAAGACCAGUUUGAGCUGCUGCCAGGAGAUUGUGUCAAAUACGAAUGAAAAAUAAAGGUUUUCUAUGAGAUUAUUGUGAAAAGGGUCUCAUUCCAUCAUCCAGGCUGGAGUGCAGCAGCGUGAUCUUGGCAACCUCCACCUCCCAGGCUCAAGCAAUCCUCCCACCUCAGCCUCCCAAAUACCUGGGUCUACAGGCAUACACCACCACAAUCAGCUGUAUUUUUUGUAGAGACUGGGUUUCGCCAUGUUGCCCAGGGUGGUCAUGAACUUGUGAGCUCAAGUGAUCUGCCCGCCUCAGCCUCCCAAAGUGCUGGGAUUACAGGCAUGAGCCACCGCCCCUGGCCUAAUAAAAUUUAUUUUU